rnacentral:rRNA from 1 species
UACAGGGGGGGCAAGCGUUGUUCGGAAUUACUGGGCGUAAAGGGCGCGUAGGCGGCCACCGCAAGUCGACUGUGAAAUCUCCGGGCUUAACCCGGAAAGGUCAGCCGAUACUGCGGGGCUAGAGUGCAGAAGGGGCAACUGGAAUUCUCGGUGUAGCGGUGAAAUGCGUAGAUAUCGAGAGGAACACCUGCGGCGAAGGCGGGUUGCUGGGCUGACACUGACGCUGAGGCGCGAAAGCUAGGGGAGCGAACGGG